CAAGACGUAGCUUAAACAAAGCAUUCAGCUUACACCUGAAAGAUAUCUGCUUACAACAGAUCGUCUUGA
rnacentral:tRNA from 1 species